CGUCAACCUUUGACGCUGGUUCAGCAGGCGUUGUUUCUUCUGUUUUCACGUUGCUUAAGGAAGUUUGAUAAAUACUACUUGAAUCCAUAUCAUCUGUGUAUGUGUUACGAUAGGAUUCAUAGGCAUUUGAAGACGACGCAGAAGCAUCAAAAUCAUCAGUGGCAGUAACACUGGUAUCUACAGCAUCAUCGUCGGCCACUUCGGGCUCACCAUUUUUGCAGUUGGCGGGAACAAGAAGUUCACACCUUGCAUGGCAUUUGAAGCCACAAUCUACACGUGUUUUGUUAGUUAACGAAAGAAAGCAAAUAUUUCGUACUUUUGCAAACACAUCCACGCUUCGAUAACCCCCAAAUAAUUUCACGACAGUAACUGCAACUUGUCGGAAGUUUAAAACUAACAUGUUUGAAAUCAUGAAAACGACCUCCUUCUUCUAAAUUAUUCGCAACUGACGUGAUCUUGUUGAUACGAACCUCUAAAUCUUCUAUUCUGGCCUUUACCAUGAGCUCUUUCCCUUCUAGAUUUAUCGAAGCCUUUUUAGAUUCAAAUGACUGGUUAGCACUAUUUGGAUCAUCGACGCGUAAACCUUCCAAUUGUGAAUCUAACGAUACAAGCUCGCCUUUCUGUUUUCCAAGGUCAUUUUUGGAGUGGACCAGUAAAUUUCGGAGGUAGUUUUUACAUGAACCAUCCACCACCAGUGCAUCCGUGUCAUGCCAGAUAGGACUAGGUUCAAAAUGCAAGUCAGCAGGAAGUGCCCAAUUCUUUGAAUUGUGCCUUCCGAACAUGGCAGAAUCAAGGACUGGUUCAUUUUUUGCAAUUUCUGAUUGAAUUUCAACGGUUCUUUGGGAUAAGGUAUCAUGGAGAGACUUUUCAAUUGAAAAGCUGUUACACCAUAUUUCAUUUAAAUUCGAAACCCUGUAUUCGUUCAAUACUUGCAUAUGAUUAAGGAGCGUUGGUAGAGUUUCAUUAUAAAACUUUUGCUUGUGGGCGUUGUAUACAAGCAUACGAAGUAGGUAUUUAUUUUUCUUAUCGAGCAUAUCACUUUCAGAUAAUUUUAAAUUUCUUUGAGUUUUUUGCUCUCGAUAUUUAUCGUUUUUUUGCCUUGCGCUUUCUAAAUCAUCGCAGGCCUCAUGGUAACUGACCUUGGCUCUCUUCACACUGUUUAACAAUGUCUCCUUUUCGGAUGAGAAUUUUUUAUAUAAAUCAUCAUAAACUUUUCUUAAAGCCUCUAUAUGAGACUCUAGUUUCUUCAGUUUUUCAGCAAUGUCCAAUGAAUAGUCAUCGGAUAGCUUUUGAUGAGUUUUUGAUGAGCGCGUUAACUCAUCCAAAAUUUUAGACCAUGUUGUUAAAGAAGCACUAUAAAAUUAGCCUGUGAACAGGAAUUCAAUAUCCAUCUAACUUCAAUUGCUUGACAGGUUCCAAUAUUUUACAUACCAUUCUAAAGAGCCAGCAGACAUUGCCGGAGUAUCUCCGACUGAAAGGGCUGAUGAUUUUCUGGAUUUCUUCUCCCCAUAUUUAUUCGAAAGACUGGCUAAUUUCUGAGCAUAUUCUUUUUCUAGCAACAAAGUUAGUCAUUGAAAUUUAACCAUUGUCGUUUCUUAUUUACCAAUAGAACUUCUUUCUUUGUAGUACAAUUGAAUAUCUUCAAGCCAUUUCGCGCCAUUAUUAAUCUUUGUUACAAUGUGUUAAUUGUUGAACUGUCUUCAUUUUCAUUCUUGGCAUACCCAACUGUCGACAACUUUAAAAUCGUCCUUUUAUAUAUUAGUAAAUAUGCCAAAUAACUAAAACACCUUACGUGAAGUUCAUCACUAAAUUUGUAUGUUUCCAGGCUCAUUAUCCAGUAUUAUCUACACGUUUGAUAUCGCUGCAAUAAAAAUUUGUACCGGAUAUAAAACAAUUAAAAAGAAAGUUUGACGGAAGAAAUUGUGACAAUUUUUGGCUUUACGUUACGAAUGUUGAUGAAAAGGAAGUACGGUGGUGAAUCGAAACCUAUAUUGUUCAACUUUCACUUAAGGAGUAACU